ensembl:lncRNA LINC01532 long intergenic non-protein coding RNA 1532
ACGAGACCCUGAGCUAGCCCUGGGGAGGGAGACAGCAGCUUUGCAGCCGUUAUCCUCAGGAAGCCCUGAGCGCUGAGAGGCACUGUUACAGAACCGAACUGGGGUCCACUCGCUAGGGAGGGACAUUCCACUUUUUAAAUCAGCUUUCUGAAGCAUGAUCUCCAUAUAAUCACCUAGAAGCGUACAGCACAAUGAUCUUGACAGAUGCCAGCAUCCUUGGAACCACUGCCACCACCAACGUCUCAAACCAUUCCAUCAAACCCAGAACACUCCUGGUGCCCUGAAGCGUCUCCCUUCAGUGGCAGAACCAGCAGAGAUUCAGUGGUCACAAGGCUGGUCUGGAACUCCUGGGUGCAAGCGAUCCUUCCACCUCGGCCUCCCAAAGUGCUGGGAUUAGAGGCAUAAGCCACCGCGCCCAGCCAGGAAUGGAUUUUCUCACAGUUCUCGAUGGCGGAAGUCUGAGAUCAAGGUCUUGGCAGGGCUAGGUCUCUCUGAGGCCUUUCUCCCCAGCUUAUAGGUCGCCGCCUCCUCUCUCUGUCUUUCCUUGUCUUCCUUGUGUCCACAGUUGUGUCCAAAUUCCCCUUUCUCAUAAGGACGUCAGUCAUGUUGGAUUAGGGCCCUCCCUCCUGACCUUGUUUUAGCUUAAUCUCUGCAACUUAACCCUUAACCUCAGUAAAGAUCCUAUUUCCAAA